CGAAACACAAUUCCCACACCUUCCUCAAGAGUUGAAGAAGGGUCCCCAAAGUCCUCGAUAAAGGUGGAGCCUAAAAAAGAUCAGCACGCAACACAUGUCUUGAGACAGAGCCAUCACAGGAAUAUUGCUGCUCCCCUGCAUGCUGAUGAACAUCAACUCAGAGCUUGUACUUCCAGGGACAAUCUA